ACUUCAAACAGGCAUGUCAAUGGGUGUCUUCUUCGAGGUCCGCGUUUACUAAAUUAACUUUUGGUCUUCUUCAAGGACUUCUAGGUCUGCGUCUUUAAAUAACAUUGUAAAUGUAAUAAAAACAAUGCAAAUGCUUCCAUAAAUAUAAAACAAAGAAAUGGUCUUUUAACAUUCUGUGAUAAGAGAAAUAAUGUAAACUGAAGCAAUAACAAGUUGAAAUAAAUAUAAUUAAAUAUAGAAAUUUAAUGGG
rnacentral:lncRNA from 1 species